rnacentral:rRNA from 1 species
AAGGAUGUGGGGAUGCACAGACAACUAGGAGGUUGGCUCAGAAGCAGCCAUCCUUUAAAGAGUGCGUAACAGCUCACUAGUCGAAUGACUCUGCGCCGAUAAUUUACCGGGGCUAAGUAUAUUACCGAAGCUAUGGAUUUACGCGUAAGCGUGAGUGGUAGGGGAGCGUUCUAUGUGCGGAGAAGCGGUACCGUAAGGAGCCGUGGAGCGCAUAGAAGAGAGAAUGCCGGUGUGAGUAGCGAAACGUGGGUGAGAAUCCCACGCACCGAAAACCCAAGGUUUCCAGAGGAAGGUUCGUCCGCUCUGGGUAAGUCGGGACCUAAGGCGAGGCCGAGAGGCGUAGUCGAUGGACAACAGGUAGAGAUUCCUGUACUUACGGUAUGAAUGAUGGAGUGACGGAGAAGGCUAGCGGAUCCUGCUGAUGGAAAUGCAGGUGCAAGCGAGGUAGCCGACAGCCAGGCAAAUCCGGCUGUCGAAAGGCAAAGGCGUGAGGCGUAUGGAAAGCUGCGGCAAGUACAGAAGUCCGUGAAGCCAGCUUCCAAGAAAAGCUUCUAGUGAUAAUCAUACAGUAACCCGUACCGAAAAUGGACACACAUGGGUGAGGAGAGAAUCCUAAGGUGAGCGAGAGAACUAUAGCUAAGGAACUCUGCAAAAUGACUCCGUAACUUAGGGAUAAGGAGUGCUCAUAGAGAUAUGAGCCGCAGUGAAACGGCCCAAGCGACUGUUUACCAAAAACACAGCUCUAUGCUAAGUCGAAAGACGACGUAUAUGGGGUGACGCCUGCCCGGUGCUGGAAGGUUAAGAGGAUGUGUCAGCGCAAGCGAAGCAUUGAAUUGAAGCCCCAGUAAACGGCGGCCGUAACUAUAACGGUCCUAAGGUAGCGAAAUUCCUUGUCAGGUAAGUUCUGACCCGCACGAAAGGCGUAACGAUUUGGGCGCUGUCUCAGCUGUAGACUCGGUGAAGUCUUAGUACCUGUGAAGAUGCAGGUUACCCGCGACUAGACGGAAAGACCCCAUGGAGCUUUACUGUAGCUUGAUAUUGGACUUUGAUGCAAGAUGUACAGGAUAGGUAGGAGACUGAGAGACAUGCACGCCAGUGUGUGAGGAGUCAAUGUUGGGAUACUACUCUUCUUGUAUUGGAGUUCUAACCGGAUGCCAUGGAACUGGCAACGGGACAGUGUCAGGUGGGCAGUUUGACUGGGGCGGUCGCCUCCCAAAGAGUAACGGAGGCGCCCAAAGAUACCCUCAGCUUGGAUGGAAAUCAAGCGCAGAGUGCAAAGGCAUAAGGGUGUUUGACUGCGAGACCUACAAGUCGAGCAGGGACGAAAGUCGGGCUUAGUGAUCCGGCGGUGCUGAAUGGAAAGGCCGUCGCUCAACGGAUAAAAGCUACCCUGGGGAUAACAGGCUGAUCUCCCCCAA